rnacentral:rRNA from 1 species
UACGUAGGGUGCGAGCGUUGUCCGGAAUUAUUGGGCGUAAAGAGCUUGUAGGCGGUUUGUCGCGUCUGCUGUGAAAUUUCGGGGCUCAACCCCGAACUUGCAGUGGGUACGGGCAGACUAGAGUGUGGUAGGGGAGACUGGAAUUCCUGGUGUAGCGGUGAAAUGCGCAGAUAUCAGGAGGAACACCGGUGGCGAAGGCGGGUCUCCUGGGGCCGAUACUGACGCUGGAGGAGCGAAAGCGUGGGAGCGAACAGG